rnacentral:rRNA from 1 species
CACGGACCGCACGAACGUUAUUCGGUAUCACUGGGCUUAAAGGGUGCGUAGGCGGCUUUGCAAGUUGGGUGUGAAAGCCCUCGGCUCAACCGAGGAAUUGCGCUCAAUACUGCCGAGCUCGAGAGAGACAGAGGUAAGCGGAACUGAUGGUGGAGCGGUGAAAUGCGUUGAUAUCAUCAGGAACACCGGUGGCGAAGGCGGCGUUACUGGGUCGUUUUCU